rnacentral:rRNA from 1 species
CCUACGGGUGGCUGCAGUGGGGAAUAUUGGGCAAUGGGCGCAAGCCUGACCCAGCAACGCCGCGUGAAGGAAGAAGGCCCUCGGGUUGUAAACUUCUUUUAUUCGGGACGAAACAAAUGACGGUACCGAAAGAAUAAGCCACGGCUAACUACGGGCCAGCAGCCGCGUGAAUACGUAGGUGCCAAGCGUUAUCCGGAUUUACUGGGUGUAAAGGGCGUGUAGGCGGGGGAGCAAGUCAGACGUGAAAUUCCAGGGCUCAACCUUGGAAGUGCGUUUGAAACUGUUCUACUUGAGUGAUGGAGAGGCGAGCGGAAUUCCGUGUGUAGCGGUGAAAUGCGUAGAUAUACGGAGGAACACCAGUGGCGAAGGCGGCCUGCUGGUCUUUAACUGACGCUGAGGCGCGAAAGCGUGGGGAGCAAACAGGAUUAGAUACCCGAGUAGUC